rnacentral:rRNA from 1 species
GAUGAACGCUGGCGGCGUGCUUAACACAUGCAAGUCGAACGAUGAAGCCCAGCUUGCUGGGUGGAUUAGUGGCGAACGGGUGAGUAACACGUGAGUAACCUGCCCUUAACUCUGGGAUAAGCCUGGGAAACUGUGUCUAAUACCGGAUAGGAGCGUCCACCGCAUGGUGGGUGUUGGAAAGAUUUAUCGGUUUUGGAUGGACUCGCGGCCUAUCAGCUUGUUGGUGAGGUAAUGGCUCACCAAGGCGACGACGGGUAGCCGGCCUGAGAGGGUGACCGGCCACAGUGGGACUGAGACACGGCCCAGACUCCUACGGGAGGCAGAAGUGGGGAAUAUUGCACAAUGGGCGCAAGCCUGAUGCAGCGACGCCGCGUGAGGGAUGACGGCCUUCGGGUUGUAAACCUCUUUCAGUAGGGAAGAAGCGAAAGUGACGGUACCUGCAGAAGAAGCACCGGCUAACUACGUG